GUCUCUCUUGAGUGGAUCCUGAGUACGACGGAGCACGUGAAAUUCCGUCGGAAUCUGGGAGGACCAUCUCCUAAGGCUAAAUACUCUCUAGUGACCGAUAGUGAACCAGUACCGUGAGGGAAAGGUGAAAAGCACCCCGGAAGGGGAGUGAAAUAGAACCUGAAACCGUGUGCUUACAAGUAGUCAGAGCCCGUUAAUGGGUGAUGGCGUGCCUUUUGUAGAAUGAACCGGCGAGUUACGAUUUGAUGCAAGGUUAAGCAGUAAAUGUGGAGCCGUAGCGAAAGCGAGUCUGAAUAGGGCGUUUAGUAUUUGGUCGUAGACCCGAAACCAGGUGAUCUACCCUUGGUCAGGUUGAAGUUCAGGUAACACUGAAUGGAGGACCGAACCGACUUACGUUGAAAAGUGAGCGGAUGAACUGAGGGUAGCGGAGAAAUUCCAAUCGAACCUGGAGAUAGCUGGUUCUCUCCGAAAUAGCUUUAGGGCUAGCCUCAAGUGAUGAUUAUUGGAGGUAGAGCACUGUUUGGACGAGGGGCCCCUCUCGGGUUACCGAAUUCAGACAAACUCCGAAUGCCAAUUAAUUUAACUUGGGAGUCAGAACAUGGGUGAUAAGGUCCGUGUUCGAAAGGGAAACAGCCCAGACCACCAGCUAAGGUCCCAAAAUAUAUGUUAAGUGGAAAAGGAUGUGGCGUUGCCCAGACAACUAGGAUGUUGGCUUAGAAGCAGCCAUCAUUUAAAGAGUGCGUAAUAGCUCACUAGUCGAGU
rnacentral:rRNA from 1 species